UAAAGUAUGAAAAAUGUUGUGUGUACCCACACCUGUCUUUGUGGAUAUUUCUCUCCUUUCCCUUCUGCUUCUGGGAUUAUUUGGGAAUGGGCACUAUGAUUUUUAUCAUAUCGCUUCCACUUCCUUUAUGGCAUCAUCUCCAAUGGGCUUCUUCUCCCUCUUGGAUCCAGGUUCUCAGAUUGGGGACAUGCAGAGUCCAAGGGACAUUCCAUUCUCCUCCCUGGUCUAGAACAAGGAGGGCUUAGAUAUAUGAGCAGGUGGCUGGGGCUGGCGAGCUAUGUAGUCUCCAAUGGCUUUUCCCUGAUGUCGGAGUUGUUAUGUCAGUUCUGGGAGACCAAUAAGACCUUGUCCUUCCUUUGGAUCCAUCAGAAAAAGCCCCUGGGUGGGUAAGAUGGAUGGCAGGGCUCUCCUACUCUAUGUCUUUUCUCACACCUAGUGGGUAUAAGAGAGGGGACCACAAACAGAGGGGGCUCUGGUACCACUUAUCCAGGGUCUGGAAACAUUUUCUGUAAAGGGCCAGAUAAUAAAUGUUUCAGGUACAACUACUCAACCUUGCAUCAUUUCAGAAAAGCAGUCAGAUAAUACAUAAAUGAAUGGGUGUGGCUGGACUUGUCCUGCGGUCCCCUGUCUUAUAUCAUUGUAUUAUAUCAUUUUUUCUUACAUACAAAUUUAGAAGCAAUACUUAAAAAAAAAAAGCCGUCCUUUAUUGAGCACCUACUAAGUGCCAGGUACCUUUUUUUCCCUCAUUAUCUUAUUAACUCUUCAUAAUAACCUUUAAAGUAGAUAAUAUUGAACCAUUUGACCUAUGCAGAAACUGAGGUUGAGACAAUAAAUUAUUUAAGACCGCACAAACAGUAAAUGCUGGAACUACGACUCAAAUAUGGGUUAACUGAACCAAAACCAGAUCUUUAUUUCUCACUUUUAAUUGUUACAUAUGUUUAUUGCCUCAUCUCCUGUCCACAUGGUGCCCAUCGGCAGACUCCUUUCUCAUUCUCAGUGAUUGAGUGACAUUCUAAACUACAUUGGCCUGGCAGAUUCACCUCUGUCCCCUAAAUGUUUCCACAUUGUCCUUUUAGGAUUGAGAUCCUCUCUGUUCCCUUGUCUUCCCUCCUUUCUUCUUCUGGCGGUGACGUGCUGUGUGAAUUUGUUUCUUUCUCCUCUCAGGGUAGUACUGGGACUUUCCAAAUCAGGGUUUUUAGUGAUCUCUCUUCCCUUUUCUGAGUUUCUUCCUUAUUCCCAUUCACUUUCUCAUCUAUAAGUGGCAGCUUUGUUGCUGGAGGAUUUCCUUUGUCCUUUUAUUCUUCUUUAAGACUUUGUCAUAACUGUCAAAAGCAAUCCCUUGAAGGUAUCUGUCCUUGGAAUUGUGUGCUUAUGAUGCUGAAAAAUACUUCUCUUCUAAAAGCUAUGAUAAAAUGCUUCUCUCCCAAAAUGUCUGUCGUUGCUGUAUUCUACUCUCUGGUUAUUACACAAUCAAAGAUGAUUUGGUCAUUUCCUUCCAGGACUUUGUUAAUUUCACUUCUUCAGCUGCUUCCCCCUUGUUGGCUGGAACUGAGUUUUCUAUCUUCUGGGAGAAGUCCUCAGCAAGGCCACUCAGGAUUUGUUGGGUGCAUUUUGUCAAGUCUAGGACCCAGGCUCUGGGUGACUGAUUUCCUCUAAUUACCGAGCAAUGUAAAAUGAGGAAGUCUGAUUGUGUAAAGGUGUUAAACUUUUGUGUGACGGCAAAACUUUAAUACCAUGAAUAGAGAUUCCAGAAUUUUCCAACUUCUAACGGGAUUCCUUUCACUCCCUGACAUUAGAAUGUUAGAAAAUCUACCACAAAACAUCUGUGAGGCUAUCCUACAAGGCCCGUUUUUCAAAAUAGGUUUUUACAAGGAUUGCUAUUUGGGAUGAUAGUUUCAGAAAGGCGCUAUCAAAGUUAAUUGAUGAUGUGUGCAAGCUGAAAGUUAUAUGUUAGAACUAGCAGUGAUUUCAAAAAUAUCCCUUUUAGGCUUUUUGCUAAUAUAUCUGCUCAUUUUCAAAGUUCCAAAUAUUAUAAAAGUAUUUAAAGCAAAAAGAAGAAGCCCUCCAUUUCUGCUGGCCCACUUCCCUGUCUCAACUAGAAAGUAUUUUCCCAGGCAAUGCUAUCCCAGGACUCACACUCCAUCCAUCCAUCACCUACCAUAAGUUCUUUGAAGGGCUCAUUCUGAGCGCUUCCUGAGUGCCUGGGAUCUGUUAUUUCUCUCCAUUUCUGCUGCUGCAUGGUAGUCCAAGUCCUCCUCCCUUUUCCCCUAGGCCAUUUGAAUCAUCUGCUAAUUGGUUUUCCUGAUUGCCACGGAAACUUCCUCCAUCCCUUCCUCACAUAUCAGCCACAGAAGUAUCUCCAAAAAGCAAAUCUGGUGACAUGAAGCCCUUGCACAAAACCCAUUCAUUACUGGUUCCACAUCUCCUUUGUGGAUAAGUUCAAGCUCCUGAGUGUGGCAAGCAGGGCCCACCUGGAAUCCCCUGCCCUCCUCUCCUAUCCCACGCAUCAACCUUUCCUGUCUAUUUGCAGUUCCUUGAAUGUGAUAUUCUUUCUAGUCUCUGUGCUUUUGCAUAACCUGUUCUUCCUGACUGGAAACUCCUUCUCCUCCUUGUAGUUUGGCUAAUUUCUAGUCUUUCAAGACUCAGCUCAUGCUUCACCCCCUCUAUAACAAGUCCUUUCCCAAGCUGGGUGGUGGAUGCUCCUCUGUGCUGUGUGAGUCUUGAACAUCCUCAGCAAACCUCAGCUUUGUUUGCUUGUCUCCCUUGCUGUCAAUGCACCUGAUUCAGGGCUGGCAUAUACUGUUCACCUCCAUGACUGGCUCAUGGUGGUGCUCCGUGAAUAUCAUCCACCCAAACGGAUGAGAGCUACCAUGCCAUCACUUGUGACUUCCAUCUGGAGCUAACCUCCCCCGACAGGAAAGCGUUUCCUUAGGAAAGAAUAUCUUUGGGUUAAAUAGAAGUAGAGACUCACCAGAAGCACUAUGUCCAGCUCAGAAUGAACUGCUCAGUAAGCAGCCUUGUCAAUGAGGAGGCAGCAGGCCAGCCCCAGAGGCCUCAAAGUGGGAGAGUAGAGAAGCGCAGUUCCUGCCACAAAGGCACAGUGGACACCUUGCUCCCCUGGCUGGCUGGAAGCAGAUGGUGUCCACCUGCUUCCAUGGGAAUUCUGCACCUUUAAUAAAGUUUUAUGGGACAGGAAGGUGACUGGCAUUGACAUUGUAACGAGGAAUGGGUGGUGCCACCUUUGCUGUGUCUUACCAGAAAUACCUGUGGCAGGUAAAUUUCUAGAGAGACCCUCCCAUUUCUCCCAUAUAGCAAUUUUGAAAUGUUUCCUGAGGGCUUUCCAAAUUCAUCUGGGAACAUAGGAGUUCCAGAAAGAUGAAAUCAAAGGUGAUGGUAUGCCAAAGAAAGUAGCUUUUAGAAUGACUUACAUUAGCCAUUCAUCCAUUCAGCACACCAGGCAUUCAGUUUGAGGGGUGUGUGUGUGUGUGUGUGUGCGCGCGCGUGCGUGUACAUAGGGGAAGGGAAACAAAAGUACACAAGACAUGAUAGUUGUCCUCAAGGAGGUUUUGCAAAUGUUCACAAUUUAAGAGAAUAUGCUGUGCUGUGGCUGGUGUAUAAACCAACUGCUAGGGAGAGGCCUUCCACACACACUUGGGGCAAAUGCGACCUCUAGGACUGCCAGUGGAAUCUGGGCAUGCUGUUUGUGGUCGAUAAACCCUGGUCCCUUGAUCAGGGACCUAUGUUUACUUUUCCUCUCCCUGGAAGUCUUCAUUAGUGGGCAUCCAGAAGGUCUUGCACAGGGCAGAGGGAGGCACAAAGACAAGAGUUUGAAACCAGCCUGGACAACAAAAUGAGUUUCUAUCUUUAC
rnacentral:lncRNA from 10 species